ACGGGAGGCAGCAGUAGGGAAUAUUGCACAAUGGGGGGAACCCUGAUGCAGCAACGCCACGUGUGGGAAGAAGCAUUUCGGUGUGUAAACCACUGUCGUGAGGGAAUAAUGCUUGAUUUCGGUUAAGUUGAAUGUACCUCGAAAGGAAGCACCGGCAAACUUCGUGCCAGCAGCCGCGGUAAUACGAGGGGUGCAAGCGUUGUUCGGAAUCACUGGGCGUAAAGGGAGCGUUGGCGGAGAUGCAAGCAGUCUGUACAAUCCCGGGGCCUAACCCUGGAUCUGCAGACUGGACUGUGUCUCUUGGAUAGUUCAGGGGCGGGCGGAAUUCCUGGUGUAGCGGUGGAAUGCGUAGAGAUCAGGAAGAACACCGAUGGCGAAGGCAGCCAGCUGGGGGCUUAUCGACGCUCAUGCUCGAAAGUGCGGGUAGCAAACAGGAUUAGAUACCCUGGUA
rnacentral:rRNA from 1 species